CCUUCCCUGUCCUUCAAGGAAAGCCCCUUCUUUACACUUCCUGUCAGGCAUGAUGCUCUCAAGGUGUCUCUCCAUCUCUUACAUGUGGUGUGGUAAUCCCUGUAGAUGCUCUCAAGGAUACAUUUGGGGAAAUUGUUGUGCUGUUGGCACCAAUCCCAUGCUGCCAAUUUAGACAGGAUCAACUUCUUUAUCCCCCUCAUCCUAAACGGCUCACUCUUGUUCAAGUGCUCUUUGAUUAAAUCGGUUUAAUUCAAUGUUUAAAUCUGCUUCAAGUGUGUUUUUGACUGAAAGUUGAUAGAUGGCACUUGUAUGGAGGGAUGUAGGUGUGGGAGAGAGAGAGGAUGGAUGGGUCUAGGUGGGUUUGGUUAAAGAAACUCCCUCUCUCCCUACCUCCUUUCCUUCUCUUGAUGAGUAAUGUAAUUGCUGCAUUUUACCUGUGAUCUAAAAUCAAAUAAAGUUGAAUAUUUUAAAUUAAAAGCUAAGACAAAAUCAGA